rnacentral:rRNA from 1 species
AGAGUUUGAUCAUGGCUCAGAGUGAACGCUGGCGGCAGGCCUAACACAUGCAAGUCGAACGGCAGCACAAGGGAGCUUGCUCCCUGGGUGGCGAGUGGCGGACGGGUGAGGAAUACGUCGGAAUCUGCCUAUUUGUGGGGGAUAACGUAGGGAAACUUACGCUAAUACCGCAUACGACCCCAUUUCGAGAGUCAUGGAGUGAAAGCGGAGGACCUUCGGGCUUCGCGCAGAUAGAUGAGCCGACGUCGGAUUAGCUAGUUGGCGGGGUAACGGCCCACCAAGGCUACGAUCCGUAGCUGGUCUGAGAGGAUGAUCAGCCACACUGGAACUGAGACACGGUCCAGACUCCUACGGGAGGCAGCAGUGGGGAAUAUUGGACAAUGGGCGCAAGCCUGAUCCAGCCAUGCCGCGUGAGUGAAGAAGGCCUUCGGGUUGUAAAGCUCUUUUGUCCGGAAAGAAAAGCUUUCGGUUAAUACCCGGAAGUCCUGACGGUACCGGAAGAAUAAGCACCGGCUAACUUCGUGCCAGCAGCCGCGGUAAUACGAAGGGUGCAAGCGUUACUCGGAAUUACUGGGCGUAAAGCGUGCGUAGGUGGUUUGUUAAGUCUGAUGUGAAAGCCCUGGGCUCAACCUGGGAAUUGCACUGGAUACUGGCGGGCUAGAGUGCGGUAGAGGAUGGCGGAAUUCCCGGUGUAGCAGUGAAAUGCGUAGAGAUCGGGAGGAACAUCCGUGGCGAAGGCGGCCAUCUGGACCAGCACUGACACUGAGGCACGAAAGCGUGGGGAGCAAACARGAUUAGAUACCCUGGUAGUCCACGCCCUAAACGAUGCGAACUGGAUGUUGG